rnacentral:rRNA from 2 species
GCCUACCAAGGCGACGAUCCGUAGCUGGUCUGAGAGGAUGAUCAGCCACAUCGGGACUGAGACACGGCCCGAACUCCUACGGGAGGCAGCAGUGGGGAAUAUUGGACAAUGGGGGCAACCCUGAUCCAGCCAUGCCGCGUGUGUGAAGAAGGCUUUCGGGUUGUAAAGCACUUUCAGUGAGGAGGAAGGCUCAAAGGUUAAUACCCUUUGGGAUUGACGUUACUCACAGAAGAAGCACCGGCUAACUCCGUGCCAGCAGCCGCGGUAAUACGGAGGGUGCAAGCGUUAAUCGGAAUUACUGGGCGUAAAGCGCGCGUAGGUGGUUUGAUAAGCGAGAUGUGAAAGCCCCGGGCUUAACCUGGGAACGGCAUUUCGAACUGUCAGGCUAGAGUGUGGUAGAGGGUAGUGGAAUUUCCUGUGUAGCGGUGAAAUGCGUAGAUAUAGGAAGGAACACCAGUGGCGAAGGCGGCUACCUGGACCAAC